rnacentral:rRNA from 1 species
UACGUAGGGUCCGAGCGUUGUCCGGAAUUAUUGGGCGUAAAGGGCUCGUAGGCGGUUUGUCGCGUCGGGAGUGAAAACUCAGGGCUCAACCCUGAGCGUGCUUCCGAUACGGGCAGACUAGAGGUAUGCAGGGGAGAACGGAAUUCCUGGUGUAGCGGUGAAAUGCGCAGAUAUCAGGAGGAACACCGGUGGCGAAGGCGGUUCUCUGGGCAUUACCUGACGCUGAGGAGCGAAAGUGUGGGGAGCGAACAGG